CCUACGGGUGGCAGCAGUGAGGAAUAUUGGUCAAUGGGCGAGAGCCUGAACCAGCCAAGUAGCGUGAACGAUGACUUCCCUACGGGUUGUAAGCUUCUUUUAUAAAGGAAUAAAGUGCGGCACGUGUGCCUUUUUGUAUGUACUUUAUGGAUAAGGAUCGGCUAACUCCGUGCCAGCAGCCGCGGUAAUACGGAGGAUCCGAGCGUUAUCCGGAUUUAUUGGGUUUAAGGGGGGCGUAGGCGGAGCGUUAGGUCAGUGGUCAAAUUGAGGGGCCCAACCCCUUCCCGCCAUUGAAACUGGCGCGCUGGAGUGGAAGAGAAGUAGGCGGAAUGCGUGGUGUAGCGGUGAAAUGCAUAGAUAUCACGCAGAACCCCGAUGGCGAAGGCAGCAUGCCGGAUUCCGACUGACGCUGAAGCACGAAAGCGUGGGGAUCGAACAGGAUUAGAUACCCUUGUAGUC
rnacentral:rRNA from 1 species